rnacentral:lncRNA from 1 species
UAUUGUUUAACUAUUAACAGUGAUAGAUCUGAUACAAAGAUAUGAAAACUUUAAGUAGCUCAUCUUUAUAUAGUAGUUUAAAGUCUGAAAUGUACCUUUCUCCCCAAAAUCCUGAUAUGGAGUUAAAAAGUAUUCUUAUUUUAAAAAUGAGGACAAAACUUUCCCAACAUCCUUUUUAAAAUAACAUUUUAUUUUCCCCCAAUUACAUGUAAAAAUGAUUUUUAACAUUCAUAGUUUUCUUUUCCCUCCCCCCUCCCCAGUUUUGGGUUCCAAAUUCUAUUCUUUCCUCCCAUCCCUAUCCCCUCCCUGAGAUACUAAGCAAUUUAAAACAAGUUAAAUAUGCAUUUCUAUAUAAAACAUUUCCAUAUUAGUCAUUUUUCCAAAAAUAUUUAAACAAAAAUAGUAUUCUUCAUCUGUAUUCAGGUGCUUAUAAAUUCUUCCUCUGGAAGCAUUUAAGCAGUUUUUUCAUCAUAAAUCCUUUGGGAUUUUCUUGAAUCACUCUAUUGCUGAGAACAGUUAAGUUGUUCAUAGUGUUCAUCAUACAAUAUUGCUAUUACUGUGUACAAUGUUCUCCUGGUUCGGCUCACUUCACGUUACAUCAGUUCACGUAAGUCUUCCCAGGUUUUUAUGAAAUAAUCCUGCUCGUCAUUUCUUCAGCACAAUAAUAGUUCAUUACAACCAUAUACCACAACUUCUUUAGCCAUUCCCCAAUUGAUGGGCAUACCCUCAAUUUCCCAUUUUUAGCCACUACAAAAAGUAUACACUUGCUAUAAUUUUUAACAUAUAUUUUAUGCUCCCUAUCACCUCCCUGGAAUACAGAUCUAGCAAUGGUAUUGCUGGAUCAAUGAGUAACCUGCUUUUAUAGCCCUUUGUUUCAUUCCAAAUUGCUCUCCAGAAUGGUUGCAUCAGUUUACAACUCCACCACCAGUGUCUAUUUUCCCACAUUACUUCAAAUAUUUAACAUUUCUCUUUUCUGUCAUGUUAGCCAAUAUAAUAUGGGUGUGAAAUGGUACCUCAGGGUUAUUUCAAUUUGCAUUUCCUUCAUAUUGAUUUGAAGCAAUUUUUCAUCUGACUAUAGCUUUGAUUUCUCUGAAACUGCUAUUCACAUCCUUUGCCAUUGACCAGUUAUGAGAUCACAAAUAAAUCAUUCUAUCUCUCUAGAUUUGUUUUCUUAUCAAUUGGGAAUGACUUGUAUUCUUAUAAAUUUGACUCAGUUUUGUAUAUAUAUGAGAAAUAAGACUUUUAUCAGAGAUACCGGGUAUAAAAAAUUUCCUCCAAUUUUCUGCUUUCCUUCUAAUUGUGGAUGCAUUGAUUUUGUUUGUGCAAAAUCUUGCUAAUUUAUAUAUUUACAAUUUUGAUUACCAUUUUAUAUUUCAUAAUGCUCUCUAUAUCUUAUUUAGUUCUAAAUUUUUCCCUUAUACAUAGAGCUGACAAGUGUUCCUUGCUCUCCUAAUUUGCUCAUGUUAUUACCCUUUAUGUCUAAAUUGUAUCCAAUUUGACUUUAUUUUAAUAUACAGUGUGAAUGUUGGUCUACACCUACUUUCUGCCAUGUUUUUCUGUUUUCCUAAUAAUUUUUGUCAAAUAAUUAGUUUUUGUUACAAAAGGAUAGGUCUUUGGAUUUAUCAAAUACCAGAUUAUUGUUUAUUAUUGUGCAGUGUGUUCCUAAUCUAUUCCAGUAUUCUGCCACUCUUAUUUCUUAGCCAGUACCAUAUUGUUUUGAUGAUUACCAUUUUAUAAUAUAGUUUGAGAGCUGGUAAAGUUAGGACACAUUAUUACAUAGUAAUUAUUCAUAUAAUAGAUUGAUAUAAUACUGAAUAAGUAAAUUUAGAUAGAUUUAUCAUUUUGAUCAUAUUGGCUCAGCCUACUUAUGAGCAAUGAAUAUUUUUCCAACUGUUUAGAUCUGAAUUUGUGUGAAAAGUGUUUUAUAACUGUGUUCAUAUAGUUCCUAGUCUUGGUAAGUAGGCUCCCAUGUAUUUCAUUUUUUCUAGUUAUUUUAAAUGGGAUUUUUCUUUCUAUAUUUUGUUGCUGGACUUUGGUUGGUAAUGUUGCCAUUUAGUAAAUGCUAAGGAUUUAUUUGGGUUUUAUUUUAUAUUCUAGCAAAACAACUUUGCUUAAGUUGUCAAUUACUUCAACUAGUUUUUUAGUUAAUUCUCUAAUCUUCUCUAUGUAUAGCAUCAUAGGGAUGGACAGUUUUACCUCUUCUAAUUCAUUCAAUUUUCUUGUUUUCUCUUAUUGCUAUAGUUGGCAUUUCUAAUACAAUACUGAAUAACAGUGGUGAUAAUGUACAUCCUUCUAUUCUUACUGGGAAGGCUUCCAGGUUUUUCUCAUUAUAAAUAAUGCUUGCUAAUAGUUUUAGAUAUUCCUUCUCAUUUAAAGUAAAGCUCCAUAUAUUCCUAUGCUUCCUAUUAUUAAUAAUAAUGGGCUUUGUAUUUUGUUAAAGUUUUUUUUUUUCCUAUAUCUAUUAAAACACAUUAUUUCUGUUGAUUUUCUUAUUGGUAUGAUCAAUUAUGCUGAUGAUUUUCCAAAAUUCUUAAUGCUCACAAUUUCUAUUUUGGAAAAGUAUGAUAAAAAAAAAAAAAUUAUAUAAUUGGAAAAGAUAUGAUAUUGAAAAUGUUAUUAACCCCAGUACUGCAUCAAUUUUCAAGGGUUAAACCACUGAAAAUAUCAAAAUGUAAUCUAUAUUAAAUAACCAUGCCUUGUACAAAAGAUUUUUUAAAAGUCAGUCACAGGGUGCCAAAUAUUAUCUAUAAUUUCCUUAAGAUGUGUUUCUAAGAUUAAACUGCUUACAAAUAGCAGGAAACUACGUAUCUCAACAGAGGUGUAUAUAUAUUUGUAUGAAUGUAUCUGUGUGCAUAUAUACACACUUGUAUACUAUAUGCAUAUAUGUAUUUAUAUGCAUAUAUUAAAAUGGAUGUUUUAUGUGUGUGAAUUUUAAUUUAAUCACCAGUAUCAAAGUCUAAUCAUUCUCCAAAGGAAGAUAAUUUCUCAUAAAAAUUCCCUUUUUAUUGAUAGUAGUUAAUAACCUACUUCCUAGAGUUCCAAAGUCCCAUUUAACUAAUAGCACAGCAUAAGAUUAGAAUACUUCUAUAGAAAAAAAUUGAUUUCAAAAUAUUUGCUACUUCAUUUUCUAGCAUUAAGAAUUGGUAUAUUCACUAAUCAAUCAAUUAAAUACUAAAUUAGGAACAAUCAUAUUUAAAUCGGUCACAAUUUUACAUAUUUUAAAUAAACUUUUGAAAUAGCAACUACGUCACCAAGGUCUGACAAUUCAAUACAUUAUCACCACAAAAUUCCUAAAUUUAAGUAAAAUACUCACUUUUUCUAAGCAACGUAAGCUUGUUUUCUUCAGUAUUAUAAUCUAUGGUCCAUAGUAGUGUUUAUGUCAUCUUUGGUUUAUCUUGACAGUUAUAUUUAAGCAGGCUGCCUAGAUGAACUAAUAUGCAAUUCUAAAGCCAAAUUUAACCUUUAAGUAGUUCAAAUCCACCAAUGAUUUACUAAUCUCUAUGAAGAUUUUUAUAUAACCUAGCAUAAAGCAGUAGUUAGAUAUCUGGAAAAAUAAUUGCUUAUCAUUCUGGAUUUCAGAAAUAUGAAUUAAUGAAAGCAGUAUAGACACUGGUAUAUCUGGAAAUUUGUAGAUCAAUCUAAUUCAGGCAAUAGUUGAUUUUCAUGUUAUAUUUAAUUAAUGAAAAUUUCCUAUCCUUAAAGGGCUAGAAGUCAUCAAUUCUUGAAUCAAAGUGUGAACAGAGAAGAAAGAGGAAAAUAAGCAGAAGAAUCUGAUUGUACAAUGCUAAUAUAAAUUUUUUCUUUGCUUUUAGACCACAAUUUACCAACAACUAUAAUGUAGAUAUUCUUAAUCAAAUAGCAGCUAUCACUUUUUCUUUUCUGAUAAGCAGGAAAAUAAAAUGCAGAUUAGAAGUCCGGGUCAAUUAUUUGAUACUUUCAUGGCUUUAAUCAUUGGGCUACAUAUAACCCAAAAUAUUUUCAAGAACAUUUAUAUUCUUUCAGUUCACCACCAUAAGUAGGAGGAGAUAGGGUACAUUUUAAAAUCUGUUAUAUUACAUAUAUGCAUAUUCACAAACAUCAUGUAGUUGCCUUAGGAAUCAUCUAUAUUUUCUAUGUUUCCCAUCUAAACCAGCUUCUGAUAGUUUUUUUCCUAAGCCCAGACAUAAGUACAAUAGCAUCAUUAGAAUAAGCUUGAAUUAAACACAUCUGUACUACUGGGACACUUCCCUACUUGGGUCAUUCAAGUCAUCAUGACUUUUCAAAGCUGUGCAGAUAAUCACUAGCUGUACAUUUGUUCUAGCUAUGGCUUAAAUUAUGCUAUCUUGGCAUUGUUACUAUUCACAAUUAGAAUGCUCCAUAAGAAGCUAUGUAUUUAUCUUCAAAAAUAAAAGAGUGCAUGUCUUUGAUCUUUCUUUGUAGGCAAUUCUCAAGUAACAAUUUUUUCACACAUUACCAACGCUCUGCACUGGCAUGGGCUAUUACUGUAAAAUCUACUGCUACUCACACAUUUGAAAAUUUUCUUUGUUACAGUUUUUGUCAUAGCCCAAUUCUAUCUACAAACAUCUUCAAGUAUUUCUAAAGAGGUUUCAAGUCAAUAUAUCUUAGAUACUUUACAAAAUGAUGAAACUGCCUAUUUACAUGAAAAUAUAU